CCGAAUAAGCGUCCAGUGGACGAGGACACCAGCCGACAUGAAUCGCUCUCAAGGCAUAGCCCCGAGUUCGAUUCUCGGUUUCGGAGCCA